rnacentral:rRNA from 1 species
AUUGAACGCUGGCGGCAGGCCUAACACAUGCAAGUCGAACGGUAACAGGAAGCAGCUUGCUGCUUCGCUGACGAGUGGCGGACGGGUGAGUAAUGUCUGGGAAGCUGCCUGAUGGAGGGGGAUAACUACUGGAAACGGUAGCUAAUACCGCAUAAUGUCGCAAGACCAAAGAGGGGGACCUUCGGGCCUCUUGCCAUCGGAUGUGCCCAGAUGGGAUUAGCUUGUUGGUGGGGUAACGGCUCACCAAGGCGACGAUCCCUAGCUGGUCUGAGAGGAUGACCGGCCACACUGAAACUGAGACACGGUCCAGACUCCUACGGGAGGCAGCGGUGGGAAAUAUUGCACAAUGGGCGAAGGCCUGAUGCAGCAUGCCGCGUGUAUGAAGAAGGCCUUCGGGUUGUAAAGUACUUUCAGCGGGGAGGAAGGGAGUAAAGUUAAUACCUUUGCUCAUUGACGUUACCCGCAGAAGAAGCACCGGCUAACUCCGUG